rnacentral:rRNA from 1 species
CCUACGGGGGGCAGCAGUGGGGGAUAUUGCACAAUGGGCGCAAGCCUGAUGCAGCGACGCCGCGUGAGCGAAGAAGUAUUUCGGUAUGUAAAGCUCUAUCAGCAGGGAAGAAAAUGACGGUACCUGACUAAGAAGCCCCGGCUAACUACGUGCCAGCAGCCGCGGUAAUACGUAGGGGGCAAGCGUUAUCCGGAUUUACUGGGUGUAAAGGGAGCGUAGACGGCAGCGCAAGUCUGGAGUGAAAUGCCGGGGCCCAACCCCGGAACUGCUCUGGAAACUGUGAAGCUGGCGUGCAGGAGAGGUAG